GACGAACGCUGGCGGCGUGCUUAACACAUGCAAGUCGAACGGAAAGGCCCUGCUUUUGUGGGGUGCUCGAGUGGCGAACGGGUGAGUAACACGUGAGUAACCUGCCCUUGACUUUGGGAUAACUUCAGGAAACUGGGGCUAAUACCGGAUAGGAGCUCCUGCUGCAUGGUGGGGGUUGGAAAGUUUCGGCGGUUGGGGAUGGACUCGCGGCUUAUCAGCUUGUUGGUGGGGUAGUGGCUUACCAAGGCUUUGACGGGUAGCCGGCUUGAGAGGGUGACCGGCCACAUUGGGGCUGAGAUACGGCCCAGACUCCUACGGGAGGCAGCAGUGGGGAAUAUUGCACAAUGGGCGGAAGCCUGAUGCAGCAACGCCGCGUGCGGGAUGACGGCCUUCGGGUUGUAAACCGCUUUCGCCUGUGACGAAGCGUGAGUGACGGUAAUGGGUAAAGAAGCACCGGCUAACUACGUG
rnacentral:rRNA from 1 species